GGGGCCUGAGAUCGGAUGAAGCGCACAGCCACGAUUUGGGUUACACACUUGAAAAUCAGGGGGCUUCCAUAUUUCAGUCUUGAGUUCGGUCUCCCUGGGAAGGUGGGGCCACCAGCCCCAUGCCCCCGUUGCACGGAUCAGCUGGAGCAGAAUCCCGGCUUCCCUCCGGAUGGGCCUGGGUCCAUGCCCGCGCUCACUGCCCAGAUCUCUCUGGCUCUUACGGACACGAGUUUGCGACCUCUGAGUCACUGGGUGGGCUCGUCGAAAAGACCCGGGCGUCUCACUCUGGAGCUCACAGUCGUACGGAGAAGACAGGACCAGCCGAGGAGGAGGGCGGCGCGUGCGAGGGUCGCCUUCUUCCCAGGGCACCGGGGGCGUGGGUGCUGCGGGAGCGCGCCGAAAGGGCAGCCUUGGAAGCGGGCGCAGCUUCGGCAGACACAGGGCUGAGGGGCUGCGGAGCUCGGGGGCCGGAGCCAGGCUGCAGGGCACGGCCUCGCCCGUUGCCCCUCCUUGCUUCUGCGGGAGGUGGGCGCGCCCAAGACGGAACCUGGGGCGUCAGAACGAAAAGCAGCGGCGCCGCGCUUCCCGGCCGGACAGCCUCCAGCGCAGCGCCCCGGCCGGAAGCCUUCUCGCCGCCGCUUCCUCUCGAGAAGGCGUGCGGCGGGCUGUCUGGCCCGCAGGGCUGGCAAGCCCGCGGCGCCAUGGCUCACGUCGGCUCCCGCAGGCGCUCGAGGAGUCGUAGCCGGUCCCGGGACGGGGGUCGGAAAAAAGAAAGAAGAGCAGGAAGGACGCCUCCGCAUCCCAAGGUUGCAAGGCCAGCACGGCCCUCGGGGCGGAGGAGAGAAGCAAGCACAAGGCCCGGAGGAGACCACGAUCCAGCUUCUCCUCCUCCUCUUCCAGUUCUUCUAGCUCCUCUUCUUCCUCCUCGUCCUCCUCUUCCUCCAGUGAUGGCCGGAAGAAGCGGGGGAAGUACAAGGACAAGAAGAGGAAGAAGAAAAAGAAGAGGAAGAAGCUGAAGAAGAAGGGCAAGGAGAAGGUGGAAGCACAGCAGGUGGAGGCUCUGCCGGGCCCCUCGCUGGACCAGUGGCACCGAUCAGCUGGGGAGGAAGAGGAUGGCCCAGUCCUGACGGAUGAGCAGAAGUCCCGAAUCCAGGCCGUGAAGCCCAUGACCAAGGAGGAGUGGGAUGCCCGGCAGAGCAUAAUCCGCAAGGUGGUGGACCCCGAGACGGGGCGCACCAGGCUAAUUAAGGGAGAUGGUGAGGUCCUAGAGGAAAUGUAACCAAAGAACGACACAGAGAGAUCAACAAGCAAGCUACCCGAGGGGACGGCCUGGCCUUCCAGAUGCGAGCUGGGUUGCUUCCCUGAGGGCCCUGGCUGGCCAAGGCCUGUGGACAGUGCUGGCGACCCGGCCUGGGCAGGCUUCAGGGUGCCAGUGGGAAGCCUGAUGGGUGCUGGUGGCCUUUCCCCCAUGGAUUGGCCUCUGGCCCAGCCCAGCCUCUUCUCAGGGGCAGGGGGUGGAGGAUGGGGUCACCGGCCUGCUCGGCACCCCCAUCUGAAGCAGCAACACUUCUUAGCUAUUAAAGGUUCUCUGGUUAGA